rnacentral:snRNA from 1 species
GUACUGCUUCGGCAGCACAUAUACUAAAAACUGGAAUGAUGCAGAGAAGAUUAGCAUGGCACCUGCCCAAAGAUGACACGCAAAUUCCUGAAGCGUUCCAUCUUUUU